rnacentral:rRNA from 1 species
UACGGGGGGGCAAGCGUUGUUCGGAAUUACUGGGCGUAAAGGGCUCGUAGGUGGCCAACUAAGUCAGACGUGAAAUCCCUCGGCUUAACCGGGGAACUGCGUCUGAUACUGGAUGGCUUGAGGUUGGGAGAGGGAUGCGGAAUUCCAGGUGUAGCGGUGAAAUGCGUAGAUAUCUGGAGGAACACCGGUGGCGAAGGCGGCAUCCUGGACCAAUUCUGACGCUGAGGAGCGAAAGCCAGGGGAGC